rnacentral:piRNA from 1 species
UAGCAGAUUAAUAGCUACAUUUUGUUGUUC